ACUGAACGCUGGCGGCAUGCCUUACACAUGCAAGUCGAACGGCAGCGGGGGAGAAGCUUGCUUUUCCUGCCGGCGAGUGGCGAACGGGUGAGUGAUACAUCGGAACGUGCCCUGUAGUGGGGGAUAACUAGUCGAAAGAUUAGCUAAUACCGCAUCCGACCUGAGGGUGAAAGUGGGGGACCGCAAGGCCUCAUGCUAUAGGAGGGCCGAUGUCUGAUUAGCUAGUUGGUGGGGUAAAGGCCUACCAAGGCGACGAUCAGUAGAUGGUCUGAGAGGACGAUCAGCCACACUGGGACUGAGACACGGCCCAGACUCCUACGGGAGGCAGCAGGGGGGAAUUUUGGACAAUGGGCGAAAGCCUGAUCCAGCGAUGCCGCGUGUGUGAAGAAGGCCUUCGGGUUGUAAAGCACUUUUGUCCGGAAAGAAAUGGCUCUGGUUAAUACCUGGGGUCGAUGACGGUACCGGAAGAAUAAGGACCGGCUAACUACGUGCCAGCCGCCGCGGUAA
rnacentral:rRNA from 1 species